rnacentral:rRNA from 1 species
CAGUAGCGUAUAUUAAAGUUGUUGCAGUUAAAAUGCUCGUAGUUGAAGUUCGGAUGCAGCAGAGCUUGGAAACGCUGUUAUGGUGCUUCCGUUGCUUUUGCUUGUCCACAGUGCGUUGCAAGUACGUAUGUGCUUGUGCGUGCAUUUUACUUUGAGAAACAUAGGGUGUUCCACGCAUGUUACGGCAUGAAUAUUCCAGCAUGGGAUAAUCUGGUACGACUUCCAAUCUGCCAUUUUGGUUCGUAGGUUGGAAGUAAUGAUUAAUAGGGACUGUCGGGGGCAUUGGUAUUUGACUGUCAGAGGUGAAAUUCUUAGAUUCGUUGAGGACCAACCACUGCGAAAACAUUUGUCAAGGAUGUCUCCAUUAA